ensembl:lncRNA novel transcript
GGCAACCCACUUGGGUCCCAUUCCAUGCUGUGGAAGGUUUGUUCUUUUGCACUUCACAAUAAAUCUUGCUGCUGCUCGCUCUUUGGGUCCGCACCACCUUUAUGAGCUAUAUCACUCACUGUGAAGGUCUGCGGCUUCACUCCUGAAGUCAGCAAGACCACGAACCCACCAGGAGGAACAAACAACUCUGGACGCGCCACCUUUAAGAGCUGUAGCAACCACUGCGAAGGUUUGUGUCUUCACUCCUGAAGUCACGCCAGACCACAAACCCACUGGAAGGAAGAAACUCCAGACACAUCUGGACAUCUGAAGGAACAGACUCAGGAAACAAUCUUUAAGAACUGUAACACUCACCGCCAGGGUUCAUGGCUCCAUUCUUGAAGUCAGCCAGACCAAGAAGCCACCAGAAGGAACCAAUUCCAGACACGGGAGCACAGAUGUACCCUGAAUAUAUGCCUUCGUUACAGAAGCUUUUUGAGGUACUGGACACGUUUCUGAAUUUGCUUUACCCUGAACAAACGUAGGCAACUCAAAACCUAAUUCUGAACUCUGGUCUAUACCAUGUUAUUUUUAAGAUUUAUGUGCGCAUUUAAUUAAUUAUAAAAGCACUAAUGAAAGGCCUGUCUCUCUAUUCUAUCCGUUCAUACAUUGUUCCGAACUCUUACAAUUACUAUGACUGAGAAAGAUAUUAUAUCUUGUACUAUCAGCUGCCUUGUACCUCCAUUUUUUUUUUUACUUUACAAUUGCUUUCCUGACUAUAGUAAAUUUAUAUUCAUACUAGCUUUAAAAUCCCUCUGUUUAGUUUCUACAAAGAGUUUAUUUUUUAAUUGACUUUAUUAGGUUAUAAUUUAUACAGAGUAUAAUAAUUUUUAUCACAUUGUUCAACAGAUUUUGCCUAUUUAACUACCCCUACAUUUAAGAUAGAAAACAUUUUUCAUCACGCAAAAGGUUCUUUAAUAUCUCUUCCCAGUUAGUCACUAGCCGCUACUGGUCCUGCUACUGCUGCUCUGCUGUCUAUCCUUGCAGAUUAAAUUUGUCUUUUUUAGUGUUUCACAUUAAUGGAAUGACACGCAUAUGCUCAUUUGUGUCUGGAUUCUUUCAUUGAUUAUAAGGUUUUUAGAUUGAUCAUGUGGUUAUGUCUAUCCAGUUCAUUAUUUGUUUUUAAUUUCUGAGUAGUAUUUCAUUGCAUGCUGUAUCACAAUUUGUUUAUGCAUUCAUUUGUUGGUAGACAUUGUUAGGAUUGUUUUUUGACUAUUAUGGAUAAAGCUUCGCUAGACAACC